UAAGGCAGCACUUGAAAGUACACUGGAGAGGAUACUUUUCAGCUAUCAGCCACAAAUCCUUAGGUGGAAAAGAGGAUUCACUCUCUUUUUGUUUUGUUCCACUCCACCGUUUCAUCCUCCCUCAUCAUCCCCCUACUCCUCAUUUCUAUGUUUUGGUUUUUCUUCUUUUUUUUCUUGUUCUUGAGAUGUAUGGAGUAAUACUUGAGAAGGUCCUAAAUGCUUUUGCAACUGCCUGGGCUCACGUACUGGGAAAAGUCAGGGCAGGGGCCAUGGAGCUUCAAAGCUGGCUUGAUCAUUCCUCAACCUCCCUCUGCUGAUGGAGAGAAGAAGAAGAAGAAGAAGAAGAAGAAGAAGAAGAAGAAGAAGAAGAAGAAGAAUGGGGGAGGGGUGAUGCAAACAGAUGGACAAACAAAACCCGGGGAAGUCAAAACUGAAGCAGAUGUGGGGAAAGCAGCAGACAGAUGGGCAGACGUGUAGCAGCUGCUGGACACCACCUGUGGCUGCUCCAUCCCAGGGGCCUGCUGUGGCACCAAAUAGUCCCUCUGGGAUCCUGGGGAUCCCAAAAUGGUGGAGCAAAUGCUGAACCACUCCCAGAAUGGACAAACCUGCACCUUUGGUGUUUAUGUUAAAAGACAUAUGUCUAUCCACUUCUUCAUUUUCUCCCACACAAAUGCCCCAUGCCCUGCAGGAACAGAAGAAGCUGGCGGUGCAUUACGAAAGACAGAAACUCCAUAAACGGACAAGCAGCACUGUUACUCUCGAGAUCUUCAGUGGGUUUAAAAAGACCCGCACAUUUGUUGCCGUCAUUACGAGCUUCGGAAUAAUAAACCCAGAGAUGAUGAUCCUUUCGUUUGUCGCAGUUUUCUCCAUGUGAUUGCAGAUCAGUCAGUUUAUUUUUUAAAUUUUUUAUAGAAUUUACUUUGUUUACGCUCUGUCAAUGUGGAUAUAUUUAAACAUAACGCAUCUUUCUCCCGGGUUUUAAAUCGCUGUCUUUUGAUUACUGCUGCUCUCAUUAGCCCAGGUUUCAUCCAGUUAACAGAGAGGCAAACUAAAUAACGUUUAGUUGUGUUUACUUGUAAUUGGUGAUUUAGAAAAAGAACAGAGAUCUGAAAAUUAUAAUGCUGUAAUGUUCAGCUGAUAUUUGAUUUCCUGUUGUUAAAAAAAAAAACAUCACUUGGGUUGGCCCAUCAUCUUUUUAUUAAAUGAUUACGUCAUAACUUCUAGGGAGAUAAAAAAACAAAACAAAACAAGCAAGAGGCGCAUGUUCAACAUUCAUCUCACGACAAGACUGAAACGAAGCAUUCAGUGCAUCACAUUUCUGUUGACUUCACAUGUGUUUUGCAGCACGAUAUUCCAUUUCAGCUUAUCAUUUGUUGUUCCUCCGGUGCUGAAAUGGCAGACAGGUUUUGGGGGUGUAUGUGUUUGUAAUUUGGAAGUCCAUGGCGGAGGUUAUUGGUGUCACAUCCCACAAUGCACUGCUGAAUUCCUUUAACAUGUGGUUAGUCAGGAAAGGGGCGGUUGACCUAUGCCUUCCCACGAGCCCCUUGGGAACAGCUUUGCGAGGUUUCUCCAGAAGUCUAGGAUCAGCGCGCAGGCUGCUGCGCUGGUUUGUGACUGGAAUUGUAAUCAUGUGAUUUUCCUGAACGCUUCUUCGUUUUUUUUGGGGUUUUUUUUGUCUUUUUUUGGGGGAAUUUUUUUUCUCCUUCUUUCACAGCCAUUCAGUAUCUUAUUUGUACCUCCUUUCCCCCUCCCCUCCUCUGAUCUGUGUCUGUUUUUGUCUUCUCGGUGUUUAACAGGAGACUAACCCUGCACAUGCAAUCCAUUACGCUUGGAGGAAAAAAGGAGAAAGUACAGGAAACCGAGGGUGAAACGUGUUGCUCUCCUCUCCCUCAUUUCCUGUUUAAACAGAUUUCUUCUCUCUACGCCUUCUAAAAGUCUGACUAACUAUAUUUUUACAGUCACUAUAUUUCUCACUACAUUAUGUAAUAAAAUCAAAUUGAACAAUAAAAUGAAUGAAUGACUUUUUUUCUUUUAUAAUUAUUAUUAUUUCUGUUGACUUUGCUGAGCCAAGACUUUGUUGAAAAAUGACAAAACUGGUGUAAGAGUGACAGGAAUGUAUCCAAUAUUAUUUCUACAUGUACAUUUGUUCAAUUGUUUGUUAACACAAAUAGAGAAUAGGCCAAUUCACUAAAUUGCUCACUAACUAGAGCAAGUUAGUGAGGCUAACUUCUUGAACCUGAUAUUGAGCUCUCUGUGCUAACGGCCUCUUCAGCCACCACAUCUCAAUGACAAAGAUGCUAGG